UGAUCCUGACAAUCUUGACCACCUUCUUCCCCCUCUUCCAUCAGGAAAAAAGAAAACCAAAAUAAUAAAUGUAUGCUCCCUUUGGCACUAAGCUUUGCAGCUUUAGAUAACACAUUGAUAUGCAGGCUUGAAGGGGAAAACUAAAGAACACUAUGUCUUUCAAAUAUCAAAACCCUCGAAGGAUAGUAUCACACCCCAAAUCUUCAUACCUGGAUGAUAUGUUGAGUUGUAUGGUGCCAGAAACACCACAUUAAGAUUAAUGAAAAGCAUAGUGGCAUAAAUUUUCUACAUCCCAAAGCCAAGUAUUUUUAUCAUAAGGACUCAUAUUCUUCUUGAUCCUAUGCUUUUUUGCUUGAGGUGGAAUUACAGCUCCGUCACAUGGAGAUUUUACUCAUCUAUUUUGCAAUGGUAG
rnacentral:misc_RNA from 1 species